CGAAUACUUAGUCAAGAUCAUUGCUAUAGUAUUUGUGAUGUUUUAUUAUUAUAAUGCAACAGAUUAUCAAAAGUGAUGAUGAAAUGACGCAGCUCUACAAUGAAUAUAUUUCGAAUUUUUCAAUUUCAUCUGAAAUUGUAUAAAUUCCGAAAAGUCUGAUAGUUAUUUAGCAUACAAAGAAUUUUCUUUCUAUGCUAAAUGUUUGAGCAUGUCGUCCGCUGAACUUAC
rnacentral:snoRNA from 1 species